GAUGAACGCUAGCGGCAGGCUUAACACAUGCAAGUCGAGGGGCAGCAUGACACGGAGAUUCGUCGAAGUGUUGAUGGCGACCGGCGCAAGGGUGCGUAACGCGUGAGCAACUUGCCCGUUUCUGGGGAAUAACCGGUGGAAACGCCGACUAAUACCCCAUAGUAUUGGAUUUAGGCAUCUUUAUCCAAUUAAAGAAUUUCGGAAACGGAUAGGCUCGCGUGACAUUAGCUAGAUGGCGGGGUAACGGCCCACCAUGGCGACGAUGUCUAGGGGUUCUGAGAGGAAGGUCCCCCACACUGGAACUGAGACACGGUCCAGACUCCUACGGGAGGCAGCAGUGAGGAAUAUUGGUCAAUGGUCGGAAGACUGAACCAGCCAAGUAGCGUGAAGGAUGAAGGUUCUAUGGAUUGUAAACUUCUUUUAUACGGGAUAAAACCUCCCACGUGUGGGAGCUUGUAUGUACCGUAUGAAUAAGCAUCGGCUAACUCCGUGCCAGCAGCCGCGG
rnacentral:rRNA from 1 species